GAUGAACGCUGGCGGCGUGCCUAACACAUGCAAGUCGAGCGAUCUUCUUCGGAAGAGAGCGGCGGACGGGUGAGUAACGCGUGGGUAACCUGCCUCAUACACAUGGAUAACAUACCGAAAGGUAUGCUAAUACAAGAUGAUAUAAGAGAUUCGCAUGGAUUUCUUAUCAAAGCUUUUGCGGUAUGAGAUGGACCCGCGUCUGAUUAGCUAGUUGGUAAGGUAAUGGCUUACCAAGGCGACGAUCAGUAGCCGACCUGAGAGGGUGAUCGGCCACAUUGGAACUGAGACACGGUCCAAACUCCUACGGGAGGCGGCAGUGGGGAAUAUUGCACAAUGGGCGAAAGCCUGAUGCAGCAACGCCGCGUGAGCGAUGAAGGCCUUCGGGUCGUAAAGCUCUGUCCUCAAGGAAGAUAAUGACGGUACUUGAGGAGGAAGCCCCGGCUAACUACGUGCCAGCAGCCGCAGUAAAAC
rnacentral:rRNA from 1 species